CCUGAAUCUGUCCCUACAACUCCCCUUCCUAGCGAAAAAUAGACAAGAAUGAAAAGUCACAAUAAAAUUGAAGAUGAAAUAUGUGGUCACCUAAAAUUAAACGUGAACCACUUCUUUGAAGAAUCAAAAUUCCUGUUAAUGAAAGAAUAACAAAUGUAAUUGAAAUAGCACAUAGCAUUCUCUAGUCAAUAUCUUUAGUGAUCUUCUUUAAUAAACAUGAAAGCAAAG